AUUGAACGCUGGCGGUAGGCCUAACACAUGCAAGUCGAACGCGAAAGUCCUUCGGGAUGAGUAGAGUGGCGGACGGGUGAGUAACGCGUAGGAAUCUAUCAUGUAGUGGGGGAUAACGUUUCGAAAGGAAAGCUAAUAACGCAUACGCCCAAAGGGGGAAAGCGGGGGAUCUUCGGACCACGGGCUAUAGGAGGAGCCUGCCUCGGAUUAGCAAGUUGGUGAGGUAAAGGCUAACCAAGGCGACGAUCCGUAGCUGGUCUGAGGGGAUGAUCAGCCAGACCGGAACUGAGACACGGUCCGGACUCCUACGGGAGGCAGCAGUGGGGAAUAUUGCGCAAUGGGCGAAAGCCUGACGCAGCCAUACCGCGUGUGUGAAGAAGGCCUUCGGGUUGUAAAGCACUUUCAGUGGGGAGGAAAAGCUGGUGGCUAAUAUCCAUCGGCCGUGACGCUACCCACAGAAGAAGCACCGGCUAAUUCCGUGCCAGCCGCCGCCGUAACAC
rnacentral:rRNA from 1 species